CAGAAGUCAGGUCGGAUUAAGCCAUAGUACGGAAAAAACUAUGCUACCUGUGAGCCCCGUCCAAGGACGUUAAAAGAAGUCAGGCCACUACAAGUGCCAUAGCUUGAGUAAACUAUGCAGCCUGUAGCUCCACCUGAGAAGGUGUAAAAAAUCUGGGAGGCCACAAACCAUGGAAGCUGUACGCAUGGCGUAGUGGACUAGCGGUUAGAGGAGACCCCUCCCUUACAAAUCGCAGCAACAAUGGGGGCCCAAGGUGAGAUGAAGCUGUAGUCUCACUGAAAGGACUAGAGGUUAGAGGAGACCCCCCCGAAAUAAAAAACAGCAU
rnacentral:lncRNA from 1 species